rnacentral:rRNA from 1 species
GAUGAACGCUGGCGGCGUGCCUAAUACAUGCAAGUCGAGCGAACAGACGAGGAGCUUGCUCCUCUGACGUUAGCGGCGGACGGGUGAGUAACACGUGGAUAACCUACCUAUAAGACUGGGAUAACUUCGGGAAACCGGAGCUAAUACCGGAUAAUAUAUUGAACCGCAUGGUUCAAUAGUGAAAGACGGUUUUGCUGUCACUUAUAGAUGGAUCCGCGCCGCAUUAGCUAGUUGGUAAGGUAACGGCUUACCAAGGCAACCAUGCGUAGCCGACCUGAGAGGGUGAUCUGCCACACUGGAACUGAGACACGGUCCAGACUCCUACGGGAGGCAGCAGUAGGGAAUCUUCCGCAAUGGGCGAAAGCUUGACGGAGCAACGCCGCGUGAGUGAUGAAGGUCUUCGGAUCGUAAAACUCUGUUAUUAGGGAAGAACAAAUGUGUAAGUAACUAUGCACGUCUUGACGGUACCUAAUCAGAAAGCCACGGCUAACUACGUG